AUGCCGAACUCAGAGAUCAAGGUUCGCAGAUUGUCCAUCCAAAGUAGCAAGAUAGAUGCGGAGACCACUAGGAUGGAGCAUAUGAGGUCUGUUACUAUUUUCACAAGUGAUGUUGUUGGGAAAGUGUUGGAUAUUUCAAGUUUUCAAGUUCUAUGUGUGUUGGAUUUAGAAGGCUGUAAAAAUGUCUCGGAUGUUGGGUAUGUGGGGAAUCUGUUACACUUGAGGUACUUGGGGCUAAAAGCUACUCAUGUUAAGGACCUUCCCAUGGAUAUAGGGAAGCUACAGUUUUUGCUUACCUUGGACAUAAGAGGUACUGAGAUAGAAGCACUGCCAUCAAGUGUUGUUCAACUAAGACGUCUAAUGUGUCUGUAUGUUGAUUACAAUAUGAAGCUGCCAUCUGGGAUAGGCAACCUGACUUCCCUAGAAGUGCUAGAUGAGCUGGGGUUAUCUGACGUGGACCUUGAUUUUGUGAAAGAACUGGGCCAUCUAACCAAGCUCAGGGUGCUCAAGCUUGACUGCGAUGAUUUUGAUGAGAGCCUGGUUAAAGCUUUGGAGGAAUCCAUUAAUAAUAUAUACAAACUGGAAAGUCUAGAUGUAUAUGUCAUUCAUGGACUCAUCAAUUGCCCGAGCGAAGAUUGGGUGCCUCCUCCACAACUCCGUAGAUUGGCUUUCCGGUCAAAUGUAAGUUGGUUCAAGACAUUGCCGUCAUGGAUUAAUCCUUCAUCGCUUCCUCUCCUCUCCUACCUGGAGAUAAAGGUGUUUGAAGUGUGA
rnacentral:rRNA from 1 species